UCCGUAGGUGAACCUGCGGAGGGAUCAUUACCGAGUUUCCAACUCAUAACCCACUGUGAACAUACCAAAGUUGCUUCGGCCCAGGGCACUGCCCGGGGUCGAGGGCCCCCAAACCUCUGUAUUUUUAAGGUGUAUCUUCUGAGUAACAAACAAAAUAAAUCAAAACCUUCAACAACGGAUCUCUUGGCUCUGGCAUCGAUGAAGAACGCAGCGAAAUGCGAAAAGUAAUGUGAAUUGCAGAAUUCAGUGAACCAUCGAAUCUUUGAACGCACAUUGCGCCCGCUGGAACUCCGGCGGGCACGCCUGUCCGAGCGUCAUUUCAACCCUCAGGCCCCCUUCGCGGGCGGGCCUGGUGUUGGGGCCCGGCCGCUACCCUGCGGCCGUCCCCUAAAUCCAGUGGCGGCCUCGCCGUGAUCCCUUGCGUAGUAAUGCACCUCGCACCGGAGAGCGCCGUGGCCACGCCGUAAAAACCCCCAAUUUUCAAUGGUUGACCUCGGAUCAGGUGGGAAUACCCGCUGAACUUAA
rnacentral:rRNA from 1 species